AUACGGAGGGUGCAAGCGUUAUCCGGAUUCAUUGGGUUUAAAGGGUGCGCAGGCGGAAUGAUAAGUCAGUGGUGAAAUCCUACAGCUUAACUGUAGAACUGCCAUUGAUACUGUCAUUCUUGAGUACACUUGAAGUGGGUGGAAUGUAUCAUGUAGCGGUGAAAUGCAUAGAUAUGAUACAGAACUCCGAUAGCGAAGGCAGCUCACUAAAUUGUAACUGACGCUCAGGCACGAAAGCGUGGGGAGCAAACAGGAUUAGAAACCCCGGUAGUCC
rnacentral:rRNA from 1 species